GGCGGUGGUACGGCAAACGGCUAAGUUCUUUGUUUUCCAUACUCUUACAAGGUCCAACAAAAACCGCGAAAGCGCUUCGGGAGGUCUGCAAAACCUUUAUGCGUCGGUUCGAUCCCGACCCGCGCCUCCA
rnacentral:tRNA from 1 species